ACGGGAGGCAGCAGUGGGGAAUAUUGGACAAUGGGGGGAACCCUGAUCCAGCCAUGCCGCGUGUGUGAAGAAGGCCUUAUGGUUGUAAAGCACUUUAAGCGAGGAGGAGGCUACUUUAGUUAAUACCUAGAGAUAGUGGACGUUACUCGCAGAAUAAGCACCGGCUAACUCUGUGCCAGCAGCCGCGGUAAUACAGAGGGUGCGAGCGUUAAUCGGAUUUACUGGGCGUAAAGCGUGCGUAGGCGGCUUAUUAAGUCGGAUGUGAAAUCCCCCGAGCUUAACUUGGGAAUUGCAUUCGAUACUGGUGAGCUAGAGUAUGGGAGAGGAUGGUAGAAUUCCAGGUGUAGCGGUGAAAUGCGUAGAGAUCUGGGAGGAAUACCGAUGGCGAAGGCAGCCAUCUGGCCUAAUACUGACGCUGAGGUACGAAAGCAUGGGGAGCAAACAGGAUUAGAUACCCUGGUAGUCCAUGCC
rnacentral:rRNA from 1 species